rnacentral:lncRNA from 1 species
GGCGUAGGUGGUGAUCACCAGCUCGUACUCGCGGCCGACCUCCAGCGGGCGAGGUCCACGAGGUGGCUGGCGUCGCUGGACGCGGCGCCGUUCUCGUCCACGGAGAAAAAGAACGGAACGACGGUGACAAAAACAAAAAAAAAACGGGUGGCCGCCCCCGGGAGAUUAGAUCGCUCCCGGGGGCGACGGUGGCGGAAGCGUGAGCGGCGACUCUAGAUCGUUCGCUCUGAUACAUGUUGGACAGUAGAAUAGGGGGAGAGCACUGUGAAUAUUGUAUCUGUU